rnacentral:rRNA from 1 species
GCAUAUCAAUAAGCGGAGGAAAAGAAACCAACAGGGAUUGCCCUAGUAACGGCGAGUGAAGCGGCAACAGCUCAAAUUUGAAAUCUGGCUUCGGCCCGAGUUGUAAUUUGCAGAGGAUGUUUAUGGUGCGGUACCUUCCGAGUUCCCUGGAACGGGACGCCACAGAGGGUGAGAGCCCCGUCUGGUUGGAUACCAAACCUGUGUUAAACUCCUUCAACGAGUCGAGUAGUUUGGGAAUGCUGCUCUAAAUGGGAGGUAAAUCUCUUCUAAAGCUAAAUACUGGCCAGAGACCGAUAGCGCACAAGUAGAGUGAUCGAAAGAUGAAAAGCACCUUGAAAAGGGGGUUAAACAGUACGUGAAAUUGUUGAAAGGGAAGCGUUUAUGACCAGACUUGUGUCGUGUGGCUCAUCCGAGGUUCUCCCCGGUGCACUCCAUGCGGCUCAGGCCAACAUCGGUUCUUGUUGGAGGAUAAGAACAGUAGGAACGUAGCUCCUCUUCGGGGGAGUGUUAUAGCCUAUUGUACGAUACUCUGACGGGGACCGAGGACCGCGCUUCGGCUAGGAUGUUGGCGUAAUGGUCAUUAGCGACCCGUCUUGAAACACGGACCAAGGAGUCGUCCAUUAGAGCGAGCGUUUGGGUGUAAAACCCGCACGCGUAAUGAAAGUGAAAUUAGGUGAGAGCUUCGGCGCAUCAUCGACCGAUCCUGAAGUUUACGGAUGGAUUUGAGUAAGAGUUUUAACGGACGGACCCGAAAGACAGUGAACUAUGCUUGAAUAGGGUGAAGCCAGAGGAAACUCUGGUGGAGGCUCGCAGCGGUUCUGACGUGCAAAUCGAUCGUCAAAUUUGAGCAUGGGGGCGAAAGACUAAUCGAACUGUCUAGUAGCUGGUUACCGCGA